CUUUCUCUCUUUCUCUGUCUCUCUCUCUCUCUUCUUUUUCUUUUUUUUCUUCCUUCCUUCCUUUCUUUCUUUCUUUCUUUCUUUCUUUCUUUCUUUCUUUCUUUCUUUCUUUCUUUCUUUCUUUCUUUCUUUCUUUCUUUCUUUCUUUCUUUCUUUCUUUCUUUCUUUCUUUCUUUCUUUCUUUCUUUCUUUCUUUCUUUCUUUCUUUCUUUCUUUCUUUCUUUCUCUUUGUUUGUAUUG
rnacentral:lncRNA from 1 species